GACAGAGGCCUCAAGCGUUUAGGCGGAAUCACUGGGCUUAAAGCGUGUGUAGGCGGACUUCUAAGUGCCUUGUGAAAUCCCACGGCUCAACCGUGGGAACUGCUGGGCAUACUGGGAGUCUUGGGCCAUUCAGGGGCAACUGGAACAAGCGGUGGAGCGGUGAAAUGCGUAGAUAUUCGGAAGAACACCAGUGGGCGAAGCGGCUCACUGGACCGGCAUUGACGCUGAGGUGACGAA
rnacentral:rRNA from 1 species